rnacentral:ncRNA from 2 species
UUCAUCCACCCGGGGAGCUUCGGCAAGAAGCUGAGAUUCCGAUGGCGGCCGCGUCCGACGCGCGGCGCGCGGCGCGCAGACCCGUUGAACCUGAUCCAGACAAUGCUGGCGUAGGGAAGGUGCGCAUUCCGCCGG